rnacentral:rRNA from 1 species
UACAGAGGUGGCAAGCGUUGUUCGGAAUUACUGGGCGUAAAGGGCGCGUAGGCGGCUAUCUAAGUCAGACGUGAAAUCCCCCGGCUUAACCUGGGAACUGCGUCUGAUACUGGAAGGCUUGAGUAUGGGAGAGGGAUGUAGAAUUCCAGGUGUAGCGGUGAAAUGCGUAGAUAUCUGGAGGAAUACCGGUGGCGAAGGCGGCUUCCUGGACCUGUUCUGACACUGAGGAGCGAAAGCGUGGGGAGCGAUCCGG